rnacentral:tmRNA from 1 species
GGGGGUGACCGGUUUCGACAGGUUGACGCUGGGGUGCGGAGUGCAGGCGGGGGUUGAUCGGUGGGCCCCCUCAUCAAGCCGAUCAAAACAAAACUGCCAACGAUAACUUCGAACUGGCCCUCGCCGCCUAACCGGGCGGAUGAGCGAGUCCCCGUGAUCUUCCGGUAGCGGGCUCGUAAAACCUUCCAAUGGGUGGCUUCGGCCUGCCGGAGGAGGGAACGGGAUGGGAUGCCGCAGUGCCACCGGGCGGUAUCCGAGACAAGGGAGCAAGUCCUCGAUCAGGGUUGUCCGAACCCCCCUGCAGAGGUCACGCAAAACGGACCAAGCCUGUGGAUGAGCUUCCACAUCACGCUUCUUGGACGCGGGUUCAACUCCCGCCACCUCCACCA